rnacentral:rRNA from 1 species
CCUACGGGAGGCUGCAGUGAGGAAUAUUGGUCAAUGGGCGAGAGCCUGAACCAGCCAAGUCGCGUGAGGGAGUACUGCCCUAUGGGUUGUAAACCUCUUCUGUCGGGGAGCAAAAGCUGGACGUGUCCGGCUUUGAGAGUACCCGUACAAAAAGCAUCGGCUAACUCGGUGCCAGUAGCCGCGGUAAUCCGGGGGCUGCGAGCGUUAUCAGGAUUUAUUGGGGUUAAAGGGUGCGCAGGCGGAUUUUUAAGUCAGCGGGAAAAUCGUGGGGCUCAACCCGAUCCAGCCGUUGAAACUGGGGAUCUAGAGUGUGCGAGAGGUAUGCGGAAUGCGUGGUGUAGCGGUGAAAUGCAUAGAUAUCACGCAGAACCCCGAUUGCGAAGGCAGCAUACCGGUGCACAACUGACGCUCAGGCACGAAAGCGUGGGUAGCGAACAGGAUUAGAUACCCUUGUAGUC